UGGGGGAUAUUGCGCAAUGGGGGAAACCCUGACGCAGCAACGCCGCGUGAAGGAAGAAGGUUUUCGGAUCGUAAACUUCUUUAAGUGUGGAAGAAGAUGACGGUACACACAGAAUAAGCCACGGCUAACUACGUGCCAGCAGCCGCGGUAAUACGUAGGUGGCGAGCGUUGUCCGGAUUUACUGGGUGUAAAGGGCGUGUAGGCGGGCUUGCAAGUCAGAUGUGAAAUACCGGGGCUUAACCCCGGAGCUGCAUUUGAAACUGUAGGUCUUGAGUAUCGGAGAGGAAAGCGGAAUUCCUAGUGUAGCGGUGAAAUGCGUAGAUAUUAGGAGGAACACCAGUGGCGAAGGCGGCUUUCUGGACGAAAACUGACGCUGAGGCGCGAAAGCAUGGGGAGCAAA
rnacentral:rRNA from 1 species